AGCAUCAACAAUGUCUGAGACAAGCAAAAAAAAAGUGACGGUCAGGUCGCACAAGCAAACCAACAGGGUGUAGAUGAAAUAGAGGUACGCCCACCACAGCAACAAAACACGCCGCUAAUUGUCUACAAGUGUAUGCGCACUAAAGAGAUCAUCUAUCGCGGGAAGCACCCAUCAGACAUAGAUAGUAAUACCAGUGCACCAGAUGCUGAUUUAGAAGGCAAGGAUAUCAUGCAAGAGGAGGAAUCGAAGCCAAAACGGCGGAGGACAGGCGAAAACGAGUAGGAACUAAUGGAUGGAUCAAGCAAAAAGGGCAUUCAAGAAGAUCAUCAUGCAGUUAAUCGUGAUGCUGAUCCCUCGCAUGCUAUUGAAUAUCAUCAAGAGGGCUAGAGAAGCACACCCUUUAUUGGGUACCAGCAUCGGGGAAGAAAGGAGAUUGCU